GGAGGGGUGGCAGAGUGGCUUAAUGCGACGGUCUUGAAAACCGUUGAUGUCGGAAGGCAUCCGGGGGUUCAAAUCCCUCCCCCUCCGCCA
rnacentral:tRNA from 1 species